UCCAGACUCCUACGGGAGGCAGCAGUGAGGCCUCUUUGUCAAUGGUCGUCCGCCUGAACCAGCCCAGUCGCGUUCGUGCAUAAGGCCCUCCGGGUCGUAACCCUCUUUUGCCGGGGCGCACGGGCGGGGCCGUGUCCCGGCCCGGAGAGUACCCGGAGAAAAAGCAUCGGCUCACUCCGUGCCAGCAGCCGCGGUAAUACGGAGGAUGCGAGCGUUAUCCGGAUUUAUUGGGUUUAAAGGGUGCGUAGGCGGGCUGGUAAGUCAGCGGUAAAAAUUCGGGGCUCAACCCCGUCCGGCCGUUGAAACUGGGGGCCUUGAGUGGGCGAGAAGAAGGCGGAAUGCGUGGUGUAGCGGUGAAAUGCAUAGAUAUCACGCAGAACCCCGAUUGCGAAGGCAGCCUUCCGGCGCCCUACUGACGCUGAGGCACGAAAGUGCGGGGAUCGAACAGGAUUAGAUACCCCAGUA
rnacentral:rRNA from 1 species